AUAAAUAAAUAGAUAAAUAUUAAUUGCAAACAAUAUUAAUUUGAAUUUUGUACCUAUCACUAUGCCCACGAGUGUAAAUAUGUACAUUCGCUUACAUACAUACAUACGGACUACAAAUGCACUGCAUGCACAUUCAAUCAAUCACCCAUCAGACACCUUGCACCAUUGAUCGAUUGUUCGAUAACAUCAUUUUUAUUAGCAUGUCAAGUCAUUUGUCGAGCGGCACUGUGGUUCAAAAUGCAAUUUAUUAGGUUAAGAUUGUGAAAAUUGUCCAGCGAGCGUAAAUGUUUGCUUGCAAUUUUUUUAGGUUUAAUAGAUGCUGAUAAUCGUACUAGGGUAGUACUACGCCCUAGCAUAAAAAUGAUAUAGUAAAUUUAGCGAUCACGCAUCAUUUUAGAGAGAUUGAAGCCAAAUUCAAACGGUGAAAGCUUUUGAGAGACGUUUUUUUAAGAUGAAAAUACGCAAGGAGGUUCGCCUAUCGCCUGCCCACUGCUAUUUAACAAACAAAAAAACGUCUCCUAACAUUUUGAUGUUGCGCCGUCUUGGGACCGUAUCUGAGUCUUGGCGGGUAUUAUUUAGUAGUAAGCUCUUACCACUCGACUCCAGCUAUUUGUGAUAUGGCAUUCCAGGGUUACAGCCCUUUUUAACUGGCAAUCCAGUGCCUCUAAAUUAGGAAAUUAGAUGGGAAAGAACAAGCUGUGUGGGAGGUGGGACCAUAACUCAUGUUAUUGUUUUUUUUUUUAUAUUUUGCAUGAUGAUAUGUUCAUAUUUAGGUGAGUGUUUUUUUUUCUGUCAACCAGUGGCACCAUGUAGAUUUUUUCUAAGUAAAUUGGUGCCUAUGUAUUUCAUAUGUUUGGCUUACAGCUGAAAAAUAUGAUAUUUUGACCCACAGUAGCACCUUUCCAAUUCUUCUUUCACCAAAAGCGAAGAGUAGUUGGUAAUCUGCGUAUCGACAAGACAUGCUAUUUUUUUAAUGCCAAGCUACUGCCAUUUUGGUAAAAUUUAGUCAUUGCUGUCAUCAUGAAUUAAAGGUCUUCACUGUGUAUUUUCAUUACACUUACCGCAAUUAGCUGUUUUUAUUUUUUUAAUUACAUACAUACAUAUUUACGUACAUGACCCUAUCUUGUCAGCUCUGGAAGCGUUUAAACCAAAUGCGCAUUACUUUUUAUGUAACUACGAAAAAAUAACGAAAUUUAUAACUUGCAAAUGAAAGUUAUAAGGCAACUUUAGUGCGAUACAUAGCAGCAGGUGAAUUUCCAUAAAUGCACAUAAUCGUGUAAUUAGUUGCAAUGAACUAAUAAACUGACACAAAAAAAAAGCCAACAAAAAAAUGUUA